AGAUUGAACGCUGGCGGCGUGCUUAACACAUGCAAGUCGAGCGGUAACGCGGGAGCAAUCCUGGCGACGAGCGGCGAACGGGUGAGUAAUGCUUGGGAAUCUGCCCAUUAGUGGGGAACAACCAGCCGAAAGGUUGGCUAAUACCGCAUACGCCCUACGGGGGAAAGCGGGGGAUCGAAAGACCUCGCGCUAAUGGAUGAGCCCAAGUCGGAUUAGCUUGUUGGUAGGGUAACGGCCUACCAAGGCGACAAUCCGUAGCUGGUCUGAGAGGACGACCAGCCACACUGGGACUGAGACACGGCCCAGACUCCUACGGGAGGCAGCAGUGGGGGAAUAUUGGACAAUGGGGGCAACCCUGAUCCAGCGACGCCGCGUGUGUGAAGAAGGCCUGCGGGUUGUAAAGCACUUUUAGUGGGGAUGGAAAAGCUCAGGGUUAACACCUCUGGGUCUUGACCUAACCCACAGAAAAAGCACCGGCUAACUCUGUGCCAGCAGCCGCGGUAA
rnacentral:rRNA from 1 species